rnacentral:rRNA from 1 species
UACGGGGGGGGCAAGCGUUGUUCGGAAUUACUGGGCGUAAAGGGCUCGUAGGCGGCCAACUAAGUCAGACGUGAAAUCCCCAGGCUCAACCUCGGGUCUGCAGUCGAUACGAGCAAACUAGAGUGUUGCAGGGGAGACUGGAAUUCCUGGUGUAGCGGUGAAAUGCGCAGAUAUCAGGAGGAACACCGGUGGCGAAGGCGGGUCUCUGGGCAACAACUGACGCUGAGGAGCGAAAGCGUGGGGAGCGAACAGG